rnacentral:rRNA from 1 species
AACGAACGCUGGCGGCAUGCCUAACACAUGCAAGUCGAACGGGAUCCGUCCUUCGGGACGGUGAGAGUGGCGGACGGGUGAGUAACGCGUGGGAACCUGCCCAGUGGUGGGGGAUAACUGCGGGAAACUGCAGCUAAUACCGCAUGAGCCCGAAAGGGGAAAGAUUUAUCGCCAUUGGAGGGGCCCGCGUUCGAUUAGGUAGUUGGUGAGGUAACGGCUCACCAAGCCGACGAUCGAUAGCUGGUCUGAGAGGAUGAUCAGCCACACUGGGACUGAGAUACGGCCCAGACUCCUACGGGAGGCAGCAGUGGGGAAUAUUGGACAAUGGGGGCAACCCUGAUCCAGCAAUGCCGCGUGAGUGAUGAAGGCCUUCGGGUUGUAAAGCUCUUUUGCCAGGGACGAUGAUGACGGUACCUGGAGAAUAAGCCCCGGCUAACUUCGUGCCAGCCGCCGCAGUAACAC